UCUUCUCGUCUCCGUUGGAGUCGUCUCUGCCGCGGCUUCCUCGGCUGCCAGCUCUCCGGCGAGCCGGAGUCCUAGUGCCGUACCGUCAGUCCCCGGCCGCGCGGAGCCGGGAUGCACUGUUCCUGCUGUGGGUCCUCAUCAUGGAGACCAAACGGGUGGAGAUUCCCGGCAGCGUCCUGGACGAUCUCUGCAGCCGAUUUAUUUUGCAUAUUCCCAGCGAGGAAAGAGACAAUGCAAUCCGAGUGUGUUUUCAGAUUGAACUUGCCCAUUGGUUUUACUUGGAUUUCUACAUGCAGAACACACCAGGAUUACCUCAGUGUGGGAUAAGAGACUUUGCUAAAGCUGAUAUCCUUUUUAUUACUAUAAUGA
rnacentral:sRNA from 1 species